UACGGAGGGUGCAAGCGUUGUUCGGAUUUAUUGGGCGUAAAGGGCGUGUAGGCGGUCUCGUAAGUCUGAUGUGAAAGCUCCGGGCUCAACCCGGGAAGUGCAUUGGAAACUGUGAGACUUGAGUACGGGAGAGGGCAGUGGAAUUCCUAGUGUAGGAGUGAAAUCCGUAGAUAUUAGGAGGAACACCGGUGGCGAAGGCGGCUGCCUGGACCGAUACUGACGCUGAGACGCGAAAGCGUGGGGAGCAAACAGG
rnacentral:rRNA from 1 species